ensembl:miRNA MIR193A microRNA 193a
GAGGGCUGGGUCUUUGCGGGCGAGAUGAGGGUGUCGGUUCAACUGGCCUACAAAGUCCCAGUCCUC